GCAUAUAGAAAACAUUUAAAAUACUAAGCAAUUCAUAAAUGUAGACUUAGAAAAACAAUACCACAAAUACUCAUACGUGGUUAGAAAUUCAAAUCAGCGAAGACUAAUUAAUUAGGUGCUUAUUCAAUCAAGAAGGGUAUUUCAACGACACACAAAGUUCUCCCUCUUAUACAUACCGAAUUCGGAUCAUGCCGUUGUACUAAAAUCUAGAUCAUCUCCUUUGUUUUAUCCUUUUUCAUUCUAGACAGUCACAUUAAGACCCUUUAUCUAUGUCACACACAUGGUAAGAAAAUCGGUUAGCGAUUUUAUUCAUUUUUAUUUUUAUUUAUAUUUCUCGCAAAUUAUCUUGAUGAUGCAAAUUUUCGUAUCACUUUCACAAGCAAUAUUUAAAUAUACAUAUAUAUAUUCACAAGGUUUAACCGUAUUACCACAGUAUGACCUUUUAUUUGCUCAAAUGAUUCGCUUAUAUUCAUCGACUGACCUACUUAAUGUGUGACUUAUAGAUGGUGUCCGACUGGUAAAUAAACUACUAAAGGAAUCCACAAAUUUAAAUCAGGAGAUUUCGGCACAAUGGUUAUUCAAAUUGAUAUCUAUACUAGGGAGACUUUUGGGUGUUGGAAAAAUACCGAUUUUGUUGUAAAAUUCCCUAAUUUCCUUAAUUUAGCCUCUCGUCC
rnacentral:lncRNA from 1 species